GCACGUUGGACCAAGGUCUGUACGUGAACCUGACGGAAAGGAGCGUGCAGGAUGCUCAGAAGCUCAUCCUGAUGCAUGAGGUGGUGCAGCCAGUGACUGCAGUGCCCUCCUUCAUGGAGGACAACAGCCGCUUUUCGCACAUGGCCAUCGACGUGGUGCAGGGCAGGGACGUGCUCGUCCACAUCAUCUAUUAGGCCACAGCCCCACCACCAGUUAUGCAGGAAUGUGUGAAUUUGGGCGCCAGUGAAGAGAGGGGUUGACUUUGAGCCAGUUUUUACUGAGUGAUCCGAUGCUGGACACCCCUGCACUCUGACACUUGGACCUCUUCCUGAAGCAUCACCUGUGGGAAUGGCCUCCAGAUGUGCCAGGUGUGUGUGGAGCAGAACCAUGAGGAAAGAUCUCCUAGUUAGAGAUCCUGCCGUUUCAGAGGGCAGCAUUUUCGCAGAUCCAUCCGUGGCUUGUUACAGAGGACGGCUGUAGAAUGAUGGCUUGAAGGGAGAGGGGCUUCAAGGAGAAAGAGAAAAAACAGAAAGGCAAAUCCAUCCUGCACUGUGAGUUUAGCAUUUUCUUCAUUGUCUCCUGUUCAUCCCAUUGUCUGUCCACAUACCGCAUGGCCCACGCCACAUCUGCCUCCUUUCUGCACAACCACUUGGAAUACGAAAAGCCCCUCUACGCGGAGAAUGCCCAUGAGUUCAACCUCUGGUGCCAGGAUGGAGAGUGGAAAGAAUCAGGCUCUUCUCCCCAGAAUGCUGUGGCUGACAAAGAAAAUAUAGGAACAGGCGGUGAGGAGAAAGCUGGUCAGAGCAAAUAUCACACCGAAACAGGUCUGUUGAAAGCCCAAGGAGGUAAGUUUUGAUUUGCUUUAGCCUCAAUUUUUUUUCUUUUUUUCUGGAAAGUAUCAGGUGAAUUUGCCUCCAGCCAGCAAUAUGUGAACCGGCUAAAUUUUACAAAGCGUACCUAGUAGGAAAGAGUUGUCCAUUUUUUCUAAUCAUAAACUGCCAACAGCCUCCCGUCGCUCUUUUUAGAAAUUUGGAUUCUCAAAUUAAGCUCAGGC
rnacentral:lncRNA from 1 species